rnacentral:lncRNA from 10 species
CAAACUGAAAUUCUGCAGAAAGAGCCAACAUUGUGAGGUUUGAGAAUGAAGAAACAGAUUGAAGAUUACAACGCUCCCCUGUCUUUAGCUCCUUACUUGCUGAAAUUCUGUGGUUCAUCUGGCACAGGAAUGGCUUUACAGUAGAGUCAGCAGCACAACUACUCAGGUCAGGAGUGGUUCUCUGGAUGGCUCUAUCAAAAUGCAUGGACAACAACAUAUGCAGUUACCUAAGUGGUCUGGAUUGAGAAGCAAUGGGGGAAGAUAUCUUAAGUAGCCAUUAGUGUUAUUUCCUCUAGGAUUUAAUUUUCUGCCAUUAGAGGCUCAUUCUUGUGACUCUGAAGAGCUCUAAGAUUCUACUAGGAAAAUACAGCUGCCAUCUUUGUUUGUCACCUACUCAAAUGCAAGACUGGUGUUUGAUAAAAUGAGGGAAAAGAGGCAUGCUGUUAUAACUGAUGCUGUCAGGACUCCAGGAAGAAGAAAGAAAGUAUUGGUGAGCCUAAGAGACAGCAGAACAGUGGAAGCCUUCCUGAGUGCAAGGCCUGACACUUGUUGCGGAGCCAUGACUGGGGAUGCAUUUGACCCCAC